CAGCAGCCGCGGGAAUACAGAGGGUGCGAGCGUUAAUCGGAUUUACUGGGCGUAAAGCGUGCGUAGGCGGCUUCUUAAGUCGGAUGUGAAAUCCCUGAGCUUAACUUAGGAAUUGCAUUCGAUACUGGGAAGCUAGAGUAUGGGAGAGGAUGGUAGAAUUCCAGGUGUAGCGGUGAAAUGCGUAGAGAUCUGGAGGAAUACCGAUGGCGAAGGCAGCCAUCUGGCCUAAUACUGACGCUGAGGUACGAAAGCAUGGGGAGCAAACAGGAUUAGAUACCCCCGUAGUCCCUGUAUCUUAUAC
rnacentral:rRNA from 1 species